rnacentral:tmRNA from 3 species
GGGGAUGAGACAGGUUAGACAGGCGUAGUAAAGAAGCUGGCUGUUGCUCGGUGGGAAUUCCAGCCGUAUAAUUGGGUCAUAUUUAUAAGUGCAAACGAUGAUUUCGUUGCCGCUAAUGACAACGUGGAAACAGCUUUCGUAGCUGCAGCCUAGUGUGCCUUUAGCGCGGUCUCGGAGGCUUACCGGGCAACAGAAAAGCCUCCAUU